UCACUACUGAGGAGUCCCAUACUAGGACGAAACGGCCGUCCAGUGC
rfam:Schistosoma mattheei strain Denwood, Zambia genome assembly, scaffold: SMTD_scaffold0001188